rnacentral:ncRNA from 1 species
CUCUGAGGGCUGGGUCGGAUGGGCUGGCGUAAGAAGCUGUUCCGGUUUUGGUGAGGACUGGGCGAGGCUUUCGGGCUUUACUCGGACCAUGCCGAGACCAGGCAGUAGACGACGUCAGCUGUGCUUGUCGUGUUUCGGCGCGCGGCAGCUUCGUCCGGCAACAAACAGCCAACUCAGAACUGGCACGGACUAGGGGAAUCCGACUGUCUAAUUAAAACAAAGCAUUGCGAUGGCUGUUGCUCGGUGUUGACGCAAUGUGAUUUCUGCCCAGUGCUCUGAAUGUCAAAGUGAAGAAAUUCAAUCAAGCGCGGGUAAACGGCGGGAGUGACUACGACUCUCUUAGACGGGCCGCUUGAUGAUGGUGUGCUGGACUGAGAGACAAACCUGAGCGUGGCGUGGGCAGACCAGCCUGCUGUUACUUGGUGGACAUGCAGGUUAGGCCACUGCCACCUCGAGAUGGUGAAACUAUGCUAUGUUGAGGCAGAAGCUUGGCCGAAGCUUGGAUGACUGUUCAGUAAUGGCGGCUGGAUGCCGGGGGGCUCCAGUUCGAAAAAUGGCUCCACUACUGGGGAAACCUGGUAGAGGGUGAACAUUACUGAUCAGGAUUCCG